rnacentral:rRNA from 1 species
UACCAGCACCCCGAGUGGUCGGGACGAUUAUUGGGCCUAAAGCAUCCGUAGCCGGUCCUACAAGUCUUCCGUUAAAUCCACCUGCUUAACAGAUGGGCUGCGGAAGAUACUAUAGGGCUAGGAGGCGGGAGAGGCAAGCGGUACUCAGUGGGUAGGGGUAAAAUCCUCUGAUCCAUUGAAGACCACCAGUGGCGAAGGCGGCUUGCCAGAAUGCGCUCGACGGUGAGGGAUGAAAGCUGGGGGAGCAAACCGGG